rnacentral:rRNA from 1 species
AUACAGAGGGUGCAAGCGUUAAUCGGAUUUACUGGGCGUAAAGCGCGCGUAGGUGGCUAAUUAAGUCAAAUGUGAAAUCCCCGAGCUUAACUUGGGAAUUGCAUUCGAUACUGGUUAGCUAGAGUAUGGGAGAGGAUGGUAGAAUUCCAGGUGUAGCGGUGAAAUGCGUAGAGAUCUGGAGGAAUACCGAUGGCGAAGGCAGCCAUCUGGCCUAAUACUGACACGGAGGUGCGAAAGCAUGGGGAGCAAACAGGAUUAGAUACCCUGGUAGUCCAUGCCGUAAACGACGUCUACUAGCCGUUGGGGCCCUUGAGGCUUUAGUGGCGCAGCUAACGCGAUAAGUAGACCGCCUGGGGAGUACGGUCGCAAGACUAAAACUCAAAUGAAUUGACGGGG